rnacentral:rRNA from 1 species
CCUACGGGGAGCUGCAGUAGGGAAUAUUGCUCAAUGGGGGAAACCCUGAAGCAGCAACGCCGCGUGGAGGAUGAAGGUUUUCGGAUUGUAAACUCCUUUUGUUAGAGAAGAUAAUGACGGUAUCUAACGAAUAAGCACCGGCUAACUCCGUGCCAGCAUCCGCGGUAAUACGGAGGGUGCAAGCGUUACUCGGAAUCACUGGGCGAAAAGAGCGCGUAGGCGGGAUAACAAGUCAGAUGUGAAAUCCUAGGGCUUAACCAUAGAACUGCAUUUGAAACUGUUAUUCUAGAGUAUGGGAGAGGUAGGUGGAAUUUUUGGGUUAGGGGUAAAACCCUAGAGAUCAAGAGGAAUACUCAUUGCGAAGGCGACCUGCUAGAACAUAACUGACGCUGAUGCGCGAAAGCGUGGGGAGCAAACAGGAUUAGAUACCCGAGUAGUC